GUCGAGCGGCAAGUUGAGUAGUAAUACUUGACCUAGAGCGGCGCACGGGUGCGUAACGCGUAUGCAACCUACCUUUUACUGGGGGAUAGCCCGGAGAAAUCUGGAUUAAUACCCCAUGGUAUCUACGAAUCGAAUGUUUUGUAGCUUAAAGAUUUAUCGGUAAAAGAUGGGCAUGCGUCUGAUUAGCUAGUUGGCGGGGUAACGGCCCACCAAGGCGACGAUCAGUAGGGGUUCUGAGAGGAAGGUCCCCCACACUGGCACUGAGAUACGGGCCAGACUCCUACGGGAGGCAGCAGUAGGGAAUAUUGGGCAAUGGUCGCAAGACUGACCCAGCCAUGCCGCGUGCAGGAAGACGGCCCUCUGGGUUGUAAACUGCUUUUAUCUGGGAAGAAAAAGUCCAUGCGUGGAAAAUUGCCGGUACCAGAUGAAUAAGCACCGGCUAACUCCGUGCCAGCAGCCGCGGUAAUACGGAGGGUGCAAGCGUUGUCCGGAUUUAUUGGGUUUAAAGGGUGCGUAGGCGGCUGAAUAAGUCAGCGGUGAAAGACUUCGGCUUAACCGGAGCAGUGCCGUUGAUACUGUUUGGCUUGAGUGUUGGAGGGGUACAUGGAAUUGAUGGUGUAGCGGUGAAAUGCAUAGAUACCAUCAGGAACACCGAUAGCGAAGGCAUUGUACUGGCCAACAACUGACGCUGAGGCACGAAAGUGUGGGGAUCGAACAGGAUUAGAUACCCUGGUAGUCCACACUGUAAACGAUGAUUACUCGCUGUUAUGGUGUAUGCUGUAGCG
rnacentral:rRNA from 1 species